rnacentral:rRNA from 1 species
GACGAACGCUGGCGGCGUGCUUAACACAUGCAAGUCGAACGGAAAGGCCAUGCGUUAGUGGGCUGCUCGAGUGGCGAACGGGUAAGUAAGAAGUGAGUAACAAGCCCUUGAUAUUGGGCUAAAUUCAGGGAGAUAGGGGUAAUACACGAUAGGUGAUACUGCAGCAGGGCAGGGCAUGGAAAGUUGCGGCGGUUGGGAAUGGACUGGCGGCUGAUCGGCUUGCUGGUGGGGUAGUGGCUUACCAAGGCUUUGACGGGUAGCCGGCCUGAGGGGGUGACCGGCCACAUUGGGUCUGGGCUACGGCCCAGACUCCUCCGGGACGCAGCGGUGGGGAAUAUUGCACAAUGGGCGGAAGCCUGAUGCAGCAACGCCGCGUGCGGGAUGACGGCCUUCGGGUUGUAAACCGCUUUCGCCUGUGACGAAGCGUGAGUGACGGUAAUGGGUAAAGAAGCCCCGGCUAACUACGUG